rnacentral:lncRNA from 1 species
GGCACGAAAUUCCGAUCACCGACCAUCCAGGUUGAAUUUCUGGAAAAAUAAAUAAAUAAGUAAUUAAUUUCGAAAAUUAAUAAAUAAAUACUAAAAAUUCAAUUUAGCCUGAUUGAAGCCCGAAACGGGUCGGGAAAAAUCCCGAGAUGCAUUUGAUAAAUAAUAGUACGUCUCUACUUGCUAAUUGCACAAUUCAAUUGUCUAACAUGCAUCACAAUUAUCUAAUAAUCAUUAAUCUACUCUAAUCUAACCACCUAAUUGCACUUAAUUAAAUUUAGUCAACCCUUAAACAUAAGUAGCAAACUAAGAAAGUAUUAGUGAGUAAAACUCACUUAAUUAAAAGUGGGGAUCGGGACACCGCGACGACGACGCGACGGCGGCCGAAAUCCAAACUUUCGGUGGCGUUGGCGAAUACUCGGGCCAGGCUCAACAGGCCUUGCAAGCCCACGGAAAAUUCUGGGCUUGGUUGAUGGGCUUGGGCCUCAAAAACUGGGCUGCUGGACUGAGGUUCACUUGGGCCAAAAACUGAAGAUGGGCUACACUUGUAGACUUGGGCUCCAAAGGCUGAAUUUCGCAUGGGCUGUAGCUUGACUCCUUGGGCUGAAUUGCUGAAAUCGUGUGGGCUGAAGAUGGGCCUGCUGCAGGCUUGGAUCCAAGUGAAGAUGGGCUAAGACUUGAGUGGACUGAGCUUAAAACUUGGACUUCAUUUUGCUGGGCUGAUGGGCCCGAGCAAAGGAGCGGCAAGGGCUGAAAUUGGCUGACUCAAUUCUCUGGACUCAACUGGGCUGCUGGUGGGCCGAAGACACUGGAAUCCACGGCUUGCUUCGUGCGAUUCACACGGCCAGAUGGAGACAGCAAGCGAGGCAGGAGGAUCGAAGAUGGCAGAAGCAGCUGCUGGCAUCCGUUGGUGGGUGUCGCGGUCAAAGAUGGGAGAAGUAGUUGGUUCGUUGACCCGCGUGGGGACAGCGAGAGGGAGAGAAAACCGGUGGGCUUCGGUCGUUGGUGGGCUUGGUCUGGCGAUGCAGGCGUGAGGCUCCGUGGAACGUGGGCUGAACGUGGCAGAGCUGGAAGAGACGCACGCGGGCAGCAAAGUCUUCGAAGGAGGGAGCUUCGGUGGACGUUGCUAGGGGUCUUCGGUGGCAGCAAAUGGGGCAGGAGAUGAAGACACGACACUGAAGCUGUUGCUGGGUGAGUGGGGGCUUCACACGGUCAACAAAUGAGCUCUACUUGCAAGGAUGUUGACUGAAAUUCGGUGGAUGGCUGCGUGAGGAACGCUCGGUGGAUCGUGGCUUCCCUUCUGUGAUGCUGCAGACUUCGGGCGGACUAAUAAAAGAGAAGAACGAAAGCAAAGCAAAGACCGAAGCUCCAAGACGUGCAGAGGAAGAUAGAAGUGUGUGGAUGAAAGUAUCGGUCAAAUAAAGCAGAAAAAAUAGAGAGCUUUGACUAAAAUCAAAGCAAUCGAGAGAGGAGGGGAAAUGGGUUACGGCAGGGGGAGAGAGACGUCGGUGGGGGGAAAAUUUCGCACGAGGAGAGAGAGAGAGAGAGUAGUGGGCGUGGGGAAGUCGGCCAAAAGAGGGAAAAUAGAGAUAGAAAGGAAAAAUUAAAAGAAC